rnacentral:rRNA from 1 species
GAGUUUGAUCCUGGCUCAGGACGAACGCUGGCGGCGCGCCUAACACAUGCAAGUCGAACGGAGUUAUUCUGAAUGAAGUUUUCGGAUGGAUUUUGGAUUAACUUAGUGGCGAACGGGUGAGUAACGCGUGAGUAACCUGCCCUGGAGUGGGGGACAACAGUUGGAAACGACUGCUAAUACCGCAUAAGCCCACGGUGCCGCAUGGCACAGCGGGAAAAGGAUUUAUUCGCUUCAGGAUGGACUCGCGUCCAAUUAGCUAGUUGGUGAGGUAACGGCCCACCAAGGCGACGAUUGGUAGCCGGACUGAGAGGUUGAACGGCCACAUUGGGACUGAGACACGGCCCAGACUCCUACGGGAGGCAGCAGUGGGGGAUAUUGCACAAUGGGGGAAACCCUGAUGCAGCGACGCCGCGUGGAGGAAGAAGGCUUUUCGGGUUGUAAACUUCUUUUGUCGGGGUACGAAACAAAUGACGGUACCUGACGAAUAAGCCACGGCUAACUACGUGCCAGCCGCCGCCGCGGUAAAACC